rnacentral:rRNA from 1 species
AUUGAACGCUGGCGGCAUGCUUUACACAUGCAAGUCGAGCGGCAGCGCGGGGGCAACCCUGGCGGCGAGCGGCGAACGGGUGAGUAACACAUCGGAACGUACCUGGUUGUGGGGGAUAACCUACCGAAAGGUAGGCUAAUACCGCAUGAGCUCGGGAGAGGAAAGCGGGGGACCUGAGAGGGCCUCGCGCGACUGGAGCGGCCGAUGUCCGAUUAGCUAGUUGGUGGGGUAAAGGCUACCAAGGCGACGAUCGGUAGCUGGUCUGAGAGGAUGAUCAGCCACACUGGGACUGAGACACGGCCCAGACUCCUACGGGAGGCAGCAGUGGGGAAUUUUGGACAAUGGGGGCAACCCUGAUCCAGCCAUGCCGCGUGAGUGAAGAAGGCCU